GAUGAACGCUGGCGGCGUGCUUAACACAUGCAAGUCGAACGGGAAUUACUUUAUUGAAACUUCGGUCGAUUUAAUUUAAUUCUAGUGGCGGACGGGUGAGUAACGCGUGGGUAACCUGCCUUAUACAGGGGGAUAACAGUCAGAAAUGGCUGCUAAUACCGCAUAAGCGCACAGAGCUGCAUGGCUCAGUGUGAAAAACUCCGGUGGUAUAAGAUGGACCCGCGUUGGAUUAGCUAGUUGGUGGGGUAACGGCCCACCAAGGCGACGAUCCAUAGCCGGCCUGAGAGGGUGAACGGCCACAUUGGGACUGAGACACGGCCCAGACUCCUACGGGAGGCAGCAGUGGGGAAUAUUGCACAAUGGGGGAAACCCUGAUGCAGCGACGCCGCGUGAAGGAAGAAGUAUCUCGGUAUGUAAACUUCUAUCAGCAGGGAAGAUAAUGACGGUACCUGACUAAGAAGCCCCGGCUAACUACGUGCCAGCAGCCGCGGUAA
rnacentral:rRNA from 1 species